GACGAACGCUGGCGGCGUGCUUAACACAUGCAAGUCGAGCGGUAAGGCCCUUUCGGGGGUACACGAGCGGCGAACGGGUGAGUAACACGUGGGUGACCUGCCCUUAGCUCUGGGAUAAGCCUGGGAAACUGGGUCUAAUACCGGAUAUGACUCCAUGACGCAUGUUGUGGGGUGGGAAAGCCUUGUGCGGCUAGGGAUGGGCCCGCGGCCUAUCAGCUUGUUGGUGGGGUGAUGGCCUACCAAGGCGACGACGGGUAGCCGGCCUGAGAGGGCGACCGGCCACACUGGGACUGAGACACGGCCC
rnacentral:rRNA from 1 species